AGAGUUUGAUCCUGGCUCAGGACGAACGCUGGCGGCGUGCUUAACACAUGCAAGUCGAGCGGAAAGGCCCUUCGGGGUACUCGAGCGGCGAACGGGUGAGUAACACGUGAGUAACCUGCCCCAGGCUUUGGGAUAACCCUCGGAAACGGGGGCUAAUACCGGAUAUUCAUCCUAGCGGCAUCGUUGGGUGUGGAAAGUUU
rnacentral:rRNA from 1 species